CCAACCCCACCCACGAACCCAGGUACACCCAAAACAAUCACCAUUCUCAUCCUUUCGACCUCACGAACUCAAGUCUGAGCCCAUUCUUACUUUCUAGGUCAAGAUUUCAUGGCUUUCAUGUACGAUUUGGUGAAGGUUUGAAGAAGAUUGAAGCUAAAUCCGUAACCUAGAUUCUGGUGAGGUUUUCCGGCGAAUCCACUAGCUUCCCUGUAUUUUUGAGGCCCUCACAGUCACCCAAUCCCAAAAUCUUAGAUGUAUGUGGCGUUUAGGAAACCAGAGCUUUUGCCAACGCCAAGAGUUGUAGCUGGUUCAACCUGAAGAAAGGUUAAUUUUUUUUACAAAGUAAGUUCCAAUUCGUUAGUGGUUUGGCUUUACAGUAAAUACCAAGUGAAUUUUUCAUUUGGUAGAUUUUUUUGAUGGAAUUCACUAACUUGGUAGAUUUAUGUUGUUUAUAGAAUACAUAUGAGUUUUCAUGGUUAUCAAUCGUUCAAUACCUCUAUAUGGUUACAGAGGGUUGAAGGUGUAAUCUCUAUACAUUUUGUAAAUAGCACUUCCUAGCUAUGGCAUAUCAGCAUUCUCAAUUUUCUCAUGUAAUAUAUGUAUAUAAACACUAUUCUUUAGCACAUACUUUUUCAAAAUUUUCUACACGUUUAACAUAGUUUUGUAACCCACGGUAUAACGCUGGUUUAGCUGCUUGUAUAAACUAAAAUUCAGUAACAAAAUGGUAAGCCUUAGUGUUUGAGUGGUGUAUGUAAAAAGUGUCCCUAGCCAAGCUAGUAGAAUUUCAUGGGAAGAUACUUGGAAGUUGAAUAACAGUCGAGGCUUGAGAUACAACCCUGCCCUUCUGCCGUUUAGACAUUUUAUUUAGCUUAUGAGUCAGUGGUAGCUGUAGAUCAGGAGCUAGGUUAGAUGACUUUGUGUGAUCACAUCCCCGCUCAAUUUUUCUUGAUUUGAAAAGUUCAUAUAUUUAUUAAAAAGACAUCAAGCACACAGACUCACCUGCGUUAAUAUUUCUUUCCUUUACAUAACAGGUAAAUCAAAUGCAUCUAGAUAUAUAUAGUUUGGUGUGAGUUUGACAAAUUUUGUUUUGACAAACUUUAAUUUAGUGCUAUUUGUGGAGCCAAAAAUAAUCACAAAGCGACACGUGGAUUUUUGGGUGAAGAUGACAAAUUUACCCUCGAGGCAUACUGGGUCUCCUACACACGAGCAGUGGAGAAUCAUCCAACAAUCAAAUCAGGAGUACCCAAAAUGGGUGCAAUUUUGUCCAAGAAGAAGAAGGUGGAAAUUUGCAUCCACAAAUUGGUGCUUUCAUUGAGAGUUGAGAUUCACACUCAUAGAAGACUCUCGCACAAAAAAGUUUUUCUCUAUUUUCUCUAUUUACUA
rnacentral:sRNA from 1 species